AUGUAUCAAGCAAGACCCCUCUCUAGGAACCUCUUUUUGUACACCUUCCUACAAAACCAUGGCCCAGGCUUCCUGGACGACCAAGACUCAGGGCUUCCCGGUGUGACCAGUAUCUUGGAGUUCCACCCCAUCUCCCCCUACAGUGACAGUCCACACUACCUGGCCAUGCAGCUGGCCUCCAUUGCCGAUGAGAUGGAGCUGAGGUUGCUGCUGCCCCAGUUCGUUGAGCCCUUCUGGAUGACCAUGUACAGCUUGUUUUUCCCCUACAGCCACGUAGGGCUCAGGGAUGUUCUGAGAAGCUUUAUGGCUGCUUUCACCAACCUUAGGGAGAACCGAAGGCUCUGGAGCUUCCUGACUCUCAGGGACCGGGUAAGCGAGCCUUGAACUCCUGACCUUGAUUUCCAUCCAGUGAGUGGUGACUGCUCUGGAGCGGCUGC
rnacentral:lncRNA from 1 species